rnacentral:rRNA from 1 species
UACAGAGGGUGCGAGCGUUGUCCGGAAUCACUGGGCGUAAAGGGCGCGUAGGUGGCGACCCAAGUCGAUGGUGAAAGCUCGCCGCUCAACGGCGAGUCGGCCACCGAUACUGGGUUGCUCGUAGCACUGUAGAGGCUAAUGGAAUUCCGGGUGUAGCGGUGGAAUGCGUAGAGAUCCGGAAGAACACCGGUGGCGAAGGCGGUUAGCUGGGCAGUUGCUGACACUGAGGCGCGACAGCGUGGGGAGCAAACAGG